UACGAAGGGUGCAAGCGUUACUCGGAAUUACUGGGCGUAAAGCGUGCGUAGGUGGUUUUUUAAGUCCGUUGUGAAAGCCCUGGGCUCAACCUGGGAAUGGCGGUGGAUACUGGAAAGCUAGAGUGCGGUAGAGGGUAGUGGAAUUCCCGGUGUAGCAGUGAAAUGCGUAGAGAUCGGGAGGAACACCAGUGGCGAAGGCGGCCUUCUGGACCAGUACUGACGCUCAUGCACGAAAGCGUGGGGAGCAAACAGG
rnacentral:rRNA from 1 species